UGGGGAAUUUUGGACAAUGGGCGCAAGCCUGAUCCAGCAAUGCCGCGUGCAGGAAGAAGGCCUUCGGGUUGUAAACUGCUUUUGUACGGAACGAAACGGCUCUGGUUAAUACCUGGGGCUAAUGACGGUACCGUAAGAAUAAGCACCGGCUAACUACGUGCCAGCAGCCGCGGUAAUACGUAGGGUGCAAGCGUUAAUCGGAAUUACUGGGCGUAAAGCGUGCGCAGGCGGUUUUGUAAGACAGACGUGAAAUCCCCGGGCUCAACCUGGGAAUGGCGUUUGUGACUGCAAAGCUGGAGUGCGGCAGAGGGGGAUGGAAUUCCGCGUGUAGCAGUGAAAUGCGUAGAUAUGCGGAGGAACACCGAUGGCGAAGGCAAUCCCCUGGGCCUGCACUGACGCUCAUGCACGAAAGCGUGGGGAGCAAA
rnacentral:rRNA from 1 species